rnacentral:rRNA from 1 species
GACGAACCGUGCGAACGUUGUUCGGAAUCACUGGGCUUAAAGGGCGCGUAGGCGGGUUCGCAAGUCUGUGGUGAAAUCCUCCAGCUUAACUGGAGAAGUGCCGUGGAUACUGCGAAUCUUGAGGAGGGUAGGGGCGUCUGGAACGGUCGGUGGAGCGGUGAAAUGCGUUGAUAUCGACCGGAACUCCGGUGGCGAAGGCGAGGUGCUGGACCCUUUCUGACGCUGAGGCGCGAAAGCCAGGGGAGCGAACGGG